UACGAAGGGGGCUAGCGUUGUUCGGAAUCACUGGGCGUAAAGGGUGCGCAGGCGGGAUCUUAAGUCAGGGGUGAAAUCCCGAGGCUCAACCUAGGAACGGCCUUUGAUACUGGGAUCCUUGAGUCCGGAAGAGGUGAGUGGAACUGCGAGUGUAGAGGUGAAAUUCGUAGAUAUUCGCAAGAACACCGGUGGCGAAGGCGGCUCACUGGUCCGGAACUGACGCUGAGGCACGACAGCGUGGGGAGCAAACAGG
rnacentral:rRNA from 1 species